rnacentral:lncRNA from 1 species
ACCAAAAUCCCAAAUCCCAAACAUCCCAAACCCCAAACUCCCAAAUCUCAAACAAACACCAAAAUCCCAAACACCAAAAUUCCACCCCCAAAAUUCCAAUCCCUAAACCCCAAAACCCCCAAAUCCCCAAACCCCAAGUCCCCAAACCCCAAUACCAAAAUCCCAAAUCCCAAACAUCCCAAAACCCCAAAUCUCAAACAAACACCAAAAUCCCAAACACCAAAAUUCCAACACCAGAACUUUAUUGGCACAGAGAACUCCAACAGUCCCAGCCCCAAACUGAACAAAAAGCCCAAAACUGGUCACCAAAAACCCCAAAACUGGUCACCAAAAAGGCCAAAAUUGGUCACCAAAAAGCCCAAAAUUGGAUUUUUUUUCCCCAGAAAAACCCCGUGGUGGUUUCAGCAUAUUCUGAUUUUCCAGGUGUUUUAUUGCUCAAACCCACCUUGGGCUGUGCUUGGCCACUCAGCUCUGAGCUAUGCAGGAUUCAAAAUUUAAUUUAAUUUAAAAUGUUGUUUUAAUUAGGGUAGGAAGAAGCCAAAAGGAGAAUAUUUGGAUUUUUUUGAGGGUUUUAUUUGGGUAAAAUAAAAGUUGGAAAUAGAGUGGGAAGUCAAGAGGAAAAAACCAAAAACUUGUAGAUUGAUUUUUGGGAAAUAAUUCCAGUUUUUGGUGAGGAAUCCCAUCCCAAAAAUGGAUUUUGACCCCAAAAAUCCUGCUCUGCACCCCAGAGGAAUUCCAAAUUCCAGCAAAAACCAAAUGGAUUCGAUGAAAAUAAAAAUGCGUAUCUCCUCCAAAGGGCCAAAGCCACAACAAAAAUCCAAAUUCAGCAGCACAGGCAGCAGNNNNNNNNNNNNNNNNNNNNNNNNNNNNNNNGUCCAGCUCUAUUUUUAUUCCACCAAAGGGAAACUGACACCAAAAUGGGGGGAAAAUCCUCAUUUUCCCUCUCUUGGGAUGGAAACUGCAGGGAAAGGAGGGAAUCUGGGGUGGGAUUCCAGGGAAAAUCCGGAAUUUGGGAGGGAAAAUCCAAAAUUUGGGAGGGAAAAUCCAAAGUUUGGGUGGAAUUCCAGGGGAAAUCCAAAAUUUGGGAGGGAAAAUUCAGAAUUUGGGAGGGAAAAUCCCGAAUUUGGGAGGGAAUUCCAGGGAAAAUCCAAAGUUUGGGUGGAAUUCCAGGGGAAAUCCAGAAUUUGGAGUGGAAGAUCCCGAACUUGGGGUGGAUCCCAGGGGAACUCCAGAGUUUGGAGUGGAAAAUCCAAAAUUGGGGACGGAAUUUCAGGGAAAACGGAGAGUUUGGGAUGGAAUUGCAGGGAAAAUCCAAAAUUUGGGAUGGAAAAUCUGGAACUUGGGAUGGAAUUCCAGGGAAAAAUCUGAGAUUUGGGGUGGAAAAUCCUGAAUUUGGGAUGGAAUUCCAGGGAAAAAUCUGAAAUUUGGGAUGGAAAAUCUGGAAUUUGGGGUGGAAAAUCUGGAAUUUGGGGUGGAAUUCCAGGGAAAAUCUGAGAUUUGGGGUGGAAAAUCCCGAAUUUGGGGUGGAAAAUCUGAGAUUUGGGGAUGGAAGAUGCAGAAUUUGGGGUGGAAACUGUGAAUUUUGGGAUCCCAGGGCAAAUCCGAGCGAACGCAGCAGAGAGAGCGCGGGAGGGAGGGGAGGGGCCCUGGGGUCUUCAUGGAAGAGAGCUGGAGCUGGAAUGAGAGAAACAGAGAGGAAAAGGGGAAAAAGGGAAAUGGGACAAAGCAGAAAUAAAGAGAAAAAAAAUGAGAGAAAAGAGGAAAAAGGGAGGGAAAAGGGAGGGAAAAGGAGAGGGAAAAAGAAAUAAAGAGAAAAAAAGGAGGGAAAAGGAAAAAAGGAGGGAAAAGGGAGGGGAAAAGGGAAAUAAAGAGAAAAAAGGAGAGAAAAGAAGAAAAAAGGAGGGGAAAAGAGAGGGAAAAAGAGGGAGAAAGAGAGGGAGAAAGAGAAAAAAAUGAGAGAAAAGGGAGGGAAAAGGGAGGGAAAAGGGAGGGAAAAGGGAGGGAAAAGGGAGGGAAAAAAGAAAUAAACAGGGAAAAAAAAANNNNNNNNNNNNNNNNNNNNNNNNNNNNNNNNNNNNNNNNNNNNNNNNNNNNNNNNNNNNNNNNNNNNNNNNNNNNNNNNNNNNNNNNNNNNNNNNNNNAACAGAAAAAAAGGAGAGAAAAGGGAGAGAAAAGGGAGGGAAAAAGAGAGGGAAAAAGAGAAAUAAAGAGAAAAAAAAAAGGAGGGAAAAGAGGGGAAAAAAGAGAGGGGAAAAAAGAGAAGAAGAGAUUCUCAGAAAUCCGAAAAACUUCAACAAAUGAAGAUUUUGGGGUCUCUCAGCACCUCCAGAAUCUCAAAACAAAAAACCUCCAGAAAUGAAAAUGUUGGGGUCACUCAGGACGCUCAGAACCCACCAAACCUGCCCCAGAAUUGCAGGAAAAGGAAGAAUUUGGGGGUGGAAUUGAAUUUUUGGGCUGCUUUGGCACUCACCUAUUUGUUUGCCCUUUUCUGUCUGUACAUCUGGAUCAUCCUCUGGCGAGCACCUCCAGAAUCUCAAAACAAAAAACCUCCAGAAAUGAAAAUGUUGGGGUCACUCAGGACGCUCAGAACCCACCAAACCUGCCCCAGAAUUGCAGGAAAAGGAAGAAUUUGGGGGUGGAAUUGAAUUUUUGGGCUGCUUUGGCACUCACCUAUUUGUUUGCCCUUUUCUGUCUGUACAUCUGGAUCAUCCUCUGGCGGAAAAUGUCAAAAGCUUUUUCUUGGUUUUCUUCCCCUGCCACUCCCAAACCCUCCCCAGCUGAGGUUGCACCCCUGGGGAAGAAAAUUUCACAAUUAGAACCAAAAAAAUCCGAUUUUUCCAAUCAAUUUUGCAUCAUUCGGUGCCUGGUGCAGCCAAUUAUUUUGAAUUAUUUUGAAUUAUUCUGAAUUUUAUUUUGAAUUAUUCUGAAUUAUUUUGAUUUUCUCCCACCAAUUCCCAUUAGAAGGUGAAUUCCCAGUUGAAAAAAAUGGGAUUUUGUGGGGAAAAAAAAAAACCCAAAUCAGGUGGGAGAGGGAAUUGUGGAAUAAGUUUUAAGUUUAGGUUUGGUUUUCUGGUGGAAAUAUCUUCAUUUUGGGAUUUCAGGAGUUAAAGCCCAGAGGAUUUGAGGAGGGAGCAGGAAAUGGCAAAGAAUUCUGGAUAAAAGGGAAUUUUAUGGGAAUUUAGGGAUUUUCCCCUAUUAAACACUCUUAAUUCCCUCAUUAAAAUAAUGAAUUUCCCCUAUUAAAAACCCUUAUUUCCCAUACAAAAACCUCUAUUUCCCCCCAUUUAAACCCUUUAUUUUCCCCUAUUAAAACCUCAAAAUUUCCCACACUAAAACUCUUAUUUUUC